GUGCUCACUUUGGCACCACAUACACUAAACUUAGAAUGAUACAGAGAUUAGCAUUGCCCCUGCACAAGGAUGACAUGCAAACUUAAAAAAAAAAAAAGUGUUCC